UACGAAGGACCCAAGCGUUAUCCGGAUUUAUUGGGUUUAAAGGGUGCGUAGGCGGGUUAUUAAGUCAGUGGUGAAAGCCUACAGCUUAACUGUAGAAUUGCCAUUGAUACUGAUGAUCUUGAGUAUGAUUGAGGUGGGCGGAAUGUGUCAUGUAGCGGUGAAAUGCUUAGAUAUGACACAGAACACCGAUUGCGAAGGCAGCUCACUAAGCCAUAACUGACGCUGAUGCACGAAAGCGUGGGGAGCAAAC
rnacentral:rRNA from 1 species